UCAACAUCAAUAAAAACUUUAGAAGGCAAUGGCAAUAAACUUCAUUACAAUUCUCUUAUUUUUGCCUUUGUUGGCAAUAAAUGUUAACGCUCAGGGGCCCAUGACAUAUGAUAUCACAAAGUAUGGUGCAAAAUCUGGUGGAGAUAUCAGUCAGGCUCUAAUGGAUGCUUGGAAGGAGGCAUGCAAUUCAACUUCCCCAAGCACAAUAGUGGUACCACGAGGAACCUGGUCUCUUAGUCAAGUGAAACUAUUAGGCCCCAAUAAGGCCCCUCUC